rnacentral:rRNA from 1 species
AUUGAACGCUGGCGGCAGGCCUAACACAUGCAAGUCGAACGAGUGGGAGACGGGUGAGUAAUGUCUGGGCGACUGCCUGAUGGAUGGUGAUAGCUACUGGAAACGGGAACUGAUAGCGCAUACCAUCGGAUGUGCCCAGAUGGGAUUAGCUAGUAGGUGGGGUAAAGGCUCACCUAGGCGACGAUCCCUAGCUGGUCUGAGAGGAUGACCAGCCACACGGGAACUGAGCCACGGUCCAGACUCCUACGGGAGGAAGCAUUGGGGAAUAUUGCACAAUGGGCGCAAGCCUGAUGCAGCCAGGCCGCGUGGAUGAAGAAGGCCUUCGGGUUGUAAAGUACUUUCAGCGGGGAGGCGUUACUCGCAGAAGAAGCACCGGCUAACUCCGUGCCAGCAGCCGCGGUAAUAC